rnacentral:rRNA from 1 species
AAGGGAGCUCGAUAAGAGCCUUCGCUGUAGGAUGAGCCUGCGUCUGAUUAGCUAGUUGGUGGGGUAAAGGCCCACCAAGGCGAUGAUCAGUAGCUGGUCUGAGAGGAUGAUCAGCCACACUGGAACUGAAACACGGUCCAGACUCCUACGGGAGGCAGCAGUGGGGAAUCUUGCGCAAUGGACGAAAGUCUGACGCAGCCACGCCGCGUGAGUGAAGAAGGCCUUCGGGUUGUAAAGCUCUGUCGCUUGGGACGAAAAACAUAUUAGUGAAUAGCUAGUGUGUCUGACGGUACCAAGAGAGGAAGCACCGGCUAACUUCGUGCCAGCAGCCGCGGUAAUACGAGGGGUGCAAGCGUUGCUCGGAAUUAUUGGGCGUAAAGGGUAGGUAGGUGGUCUUAUUUGUCUGAGGUGAAAUCCCGGGGCUUAACUCCGGAAGUGCCUUAGAAANNNNAANNCUGGAGUGNUAGAGAGGUUUGUGGAAUUCCCGGUGUAGCGGUGAAAUGCGUAGAGAUCGGGAGGAACACCAGAAGCGAAGGCGACAAACUGGCUAGAUACUGACACUGAACUACGAAAGCGUGGGUAGCAAACAGGAUUAGAUACCCUGGUAGUCCACGCUGUAAACGAUGGGUACUAGGCUUUGUGGGAAUUGACCCCUGCGGAGCCGGAGCUAACGCAAUAAGUACCCCGCCUGGGAAGUACGGUCGCAAGACUAAAACUCAAAGGAAUUGACGGGGGCCCGCACAAGCGGUGGAUCAUGUGGUUUAAUUCGAAGCAACGCGCAGAACUUUACCUAGGUUUGACAUCCUCUGAUCGCUGUAGAAAUACAGUUUUUGUAGCAAUACAACAGAGAGACAGGUGCUGCAUGGCUGUCGUCAGCUCGUGUGGUGACAUGUUGGGUUAAGUCCCGCAACGAGCGCAACCCUUGCCUUUAGUUGCCAGCAUUCAGUUGGGCACUCUAGAGGGACUGCCGUGGUUAACACGGAGGAAGGUGGGGAUGACGUCAAGUCCUCAUGGCCUUUAUAUCUAGGGCGACACACGUGAUACAAUGGAUGGUACAGAGGGAAGCGAACCCGCGAGGGGGAGCGAAUCUCAAAAAGCCAUUCUCAGUUCGGAUUGGAGUCUGCAAUUCGACUCCAUGAAGUUGGAAUCGCUAGUAAUCGCGGAUCAGAACGCCGCGGUGAAUACGUUCCCGGGCCU